rnacentral:rRNA from 1 species
GACAGAGGAUGCAAGCGUUAUCCGGAAUGAUUGGGCGUAAAGCGUCUGUAGGUGGCUUUUUAAGUCCGCCGUCAAAUCCCCAGGGCUCAACCCUGGACAGGCGGUGGGAAACUACCAAGCUGGAGUACGGUAGGGGCAGAGGGAAUUUCCGGUGGAGCGGUGAAAUGCGUAGAGAUCGGAAAGACACCAACGGCGAAAGCACUCUGCUGGGCCGACACCUGACACUGAGAGACGAAAGCUAGGGGGAGCGAAUGGGG